rnacentral:lncRNA from 1 species
CAGAAAUCCACCUGCCUCUGCCUCUCAAGUACUGGGAUAAAGGCGUGUGCCACCACUGACCAUGAUUUCAAUUUUUGAAUGUGAUUUUCUUUAAAUCUAUCUCUAAUAUUGUCUCUUAAUCGUUUUCAUUUUCCAGUACUUCCCAGUCAUUAAAAAUUCCUUUUCAUUUUUAAAGAGUGCUGUUGAUUAUUUAUUUCUGUUUAGAGCAUUAUCUCCUGGACCAUAGGCUGGCUCCUACUCUGUAAUUUAGAAUUAAUGUGAUCUUCCAGUCCUGUCUCUGCUGCCACAAGCUUGGGUGUCAGUCCUGCACCUCUCCCAGCCUGGGCCUUGACUGCAUUGAAAGGAAAGAUAGGCCAGUGAAUGAUUGCCAUCCAACUUCUGUUUUCUGUUGGGACUGUCCAAUGAAGCUGCACCUGUGCACGAAUUGAAUUUUGUGACCAACUUUGAAAUAUGUUUAGUCACAGCCCAGAAAGGUUUUAAGAUGAUCAUCCUGAGGGCUGGCAAUAUGACUCAGUGGGUAAGAGCACUGACUGCUCUUAUGAAGGUCCUGAGUUCAAAUCCCAGCAACAUGGUGGCUCACAACCACCCGAAGUGAGAUCUAACACCCUCUUCUGGUGUGUCUAAAGUCAGCUACAGUGUACUUAGAUAUAAUAAUAAAUAAAU